rnacentral:rRNA from 1 species
AUUCCAGCUCCAAUAGCGUAUAUUAAGGUUGUUGCAGUUAAAAAGCUCGUAGUUGGAUUUCUGUUUUGAAUGUCCGGUCGGUCAGUUUCUGAUGUGUACUUUGGAUAUUCGAGGCAUUUUUUGAGAGGGUCCUUGACUGGCAUUAAGUUGUUGGUUUUGGAAGCUUGCAUCGUUUACUGUGAAAAAAUUAGAGUGUUUCAAGCAGGCGUUUGCUUUUGAAUACAUUAGCAUGGAAUAAUAAGAUACGACUAGCGUGGUCUAUUUUGUUGGUUUGCACACGCAAGUAAUGAUUAAUAGGGACAGUUGGGGGUAUUCAUAUUUGAGCGUCAGAGGUGAAAUUCUUGGAUCGCUGAAAGAUGAGCUUAGGCGAAAGCAUUUAUCAUGGAUGUUUUCAUUA